GAGAUAACUCCUACGGGAGGCAGCAGUGGGGAAUUUUGGACAAUGGGGGCAACCCUGAUCCAGCAAUGCCGCGUGAGCGAAGAAGGCCUUCGGGUUGUAAAGCUCUUUUGUCAGGGAAGAAACGGUAGUAGCUAAUAUCUAUUACUAAUGACGGUACCUGAAGAACAAGCACCGGCUAACUACGUGCCAGCAGCCGCGGUAAUACGUAGGGUGCAAGCGUUAAUCGGAAUUACUGGGCGUAAAGCGUGCGCAGGCGGUUGUGUAAGUCAGAUGUGAAAUCCCCGGGCUCAACCUGGGAAUUGUAUUUGAGCCUGCAAGGCUAGAGUGUGUCAGAGGGGGGUAGAAUUCCGCGUGUAGCAGUGAAAUGCGUAGAUAUGUGGAGGACUACCGAUGGCGAAGGCAGCCCCCUGGGAUAUCACUGCCGCUCAUGCACGAAAGCGUGGGGAGCAAACAGGAUUAGAAACCCUUGUAGUCAUCCACU
rnacentral:rRNA from 1 species